rnacentral:rRNA from 1 species
UACAGAGGGUGCGAGCGUUGUCCGGAAUCACUGGGCGUAAAGGGCGCGUAGGUGGCGGGCCAAGUCCAUGGUGAAAGCUCGAUGCUCAACAUCGAGUCGGCCACGGAUACUGGUUCGCUCGAGCACUGUAGAGGCUAAUGGAAUUCCGGGUGUAGCGGUGGAAUGCGUAGAGAUCGGGAGGAACAUCUGUGGCGAAGGCGGCCAUCUGGACCAGCACUGACACUGAGGCACGAAAGCGUGGGGAGCAAACAGG